rnacentral:rRNA from 1 species
GACGAACGCUGGCGGCGUGCUUAACACAUGCAAGUCGAACGAUGAACCCGGAGCUUGCUCCGGCGGAUUAGUGGCGAACGGGUGAGUAACACGUGAGUAACCUGCCCUUGACUCUGGGAUAACUGCGGGAAACUGUAGCUAAUACCGGAUACGACCCUCGGCGGCAUCGCCAGGGGGUGGAAAGAAUUUCGGUCAAGGAUGGACUCGCGGCCUAUCAGCUAGUUGGUGAGGUAACGGCUCACCAAGGCGACGACGGGUAGCCGGCCUGAGAGGGUGAGCGGCCACACUGGGACUGAGACACGGACCAGACUCCUACGGGAGGCAGCAGUGGGGAAUAUUGCACAAUGGGCGCAAGCCUGAUGCAGCAACGCCGCGUGAGGGAUGACGGCCUUCGGGUUGUAAACCUCUUUUAGUAGGGAAGAAGCGAAAGUGACGGUACCUGCAGAAAAAGCACCGGCUAACUACGUGCCAGCCGCCGCGGUAA